GACGUAGGGCGCAAGCGUUGUCCGGAUUUAUUGGGCGUAAAGGGCGCGUAGGCGGCUCUGCACGUCCGUUGUGAAAUCGCCCGGCUCAACUGGGCGGGGUCAGCGGAUACGGCGGAGCUUGAGCAAGCUAGGGGGCAAUGGAAUUCCCGGUGUAGUGGUGGAAUGCGUAGAUAUCGGGAGGAACACCAGUGGCGAAGGCGGCUGCCUGGGGCUUUGCUGACGCUGAUGCGCGAAAGCGUGGGGAGCGAUCCGG
rnacentral:rRNA from 1 species